rnacentral:tRNA from 1 species
GGCGAGGUAGCUCAGUUGGUAGAGCACCGCACUGAAAAUGCGGGUGUCGGCGGUUCAAGUCCGCCUCUCGCCA